rnacentral:rRNA from 1 species
UACAGAGGUCCCAAGCGUUGUUCGGAUUCACUGGGCGUAAAGGGUGCGUAGGCGGUCGGGUAAGUCUGAUGUGAAAUCUCACAGCUUAACUGUGAAACUGCAUUGGAUACUAUCCGGCUAGAGGAAUGGAGGGGAGACUGGAAUACUUGGUGUAGCAGUGAAAUGCGUAGAUAUCAAGUGGAACACCAGUGGCGAAGGCGGUUUCCUGGACAGUUACUGACGCUCAGGCACGAAAGCAUGGGGAGCAAAAGGG